UUUGUUAUUGGCCGAGCCGCGAGCUGAGGUGGAGCGUCUGGCCGAAUCCCCUUGCCCCUCUUCACUUUUGAGCCAAAGAUCGACAGAGAUCAUGUCAGUAACGCACUGCACCUGUAUAUAUUUCAUACUGAAAUAUAGAGUAAUAUGUAUUACGUUUGAAAAAUGGUCACUUUGUGGUACUUUAGCACAGAUGUAUCUACAUGAUCUCGUCCAGUAUGUGCCAGAUUAUUCCGCAGGAGUGAAAAGUGGAACAGUAAACUGACUCCGUUGACCACCACUAACUUUAAGUGCAAGCGUUCAUCUUUUGGAACAUACAAUGAUAAAUCCGUCGACGCGAAACGUGGUUAUAUAGGAGUAUACACUGACCACUUGAAUGCUGAACUUCAUUUACCAAGAGCUACUUUGAUACUCGAGAAUGCUGUUACGUGGUAGAUACGAUGAGGUCAAUUCAUGUUAUUCCUGAUGCUCUAGCGUUAGGUUAGUACGCGUGAAUUGUCAUCAUUCCAUAGUCUAAUGUAUUCGAAGUCACACUACACGAUUACAGAAAAAGUCCACUAAUGCUUUCUUCAAAUUAACAAUCCUUUCUAAUCUAAAGGUCAACCCUUUUCAAUUUACCUUCUAAUUGCCAACUUAAAGGAAGUAGGAUAAUCAAUUAGAAACGUUUCAUUAACGUUUCAUUUUCAUCGUAUACAAAUUUGGCCUCUGCUCUAAUUCUGUUCUAAAACGAUAUGAAAAUGGUAAAGUUCAUAAAGGUUUUCAUUUUCAUAAUUAAUAUUAAUCUAAAAGUUAUACUACACGUCGUUUCCUCGGAUUAUUUAUUAAAAAACAAUUUUUAUAGCUCCCUUUUUUGCAAUUGAAGAAAAGGGUCAAGCUUCUGUGCCAGAUUCAAAGAAUAUUCCACACUAUACAAGGAAUAAGUGACAUUAAACUUUCCUUCUUGUUUACGUUGUUAUUGUCAUGUAUAGUUUAGUUCUUGUUGUAUAUUUCUAAGUUGUUGAUAAUAUAAAUCAGCAUCAACAAUUGUGUUUAGAAAUGAUAACUCUCUGAUAGACUAUUUACACGAACAGAAUGGCGAACGUUUCAUUGAGCGAAUUGAGUCUAUAGCAUCUUUAAUGAAAUACCUUAAUGGAAUUAGCCUUUGGCCCCAGAUGCAGAUGAAGUGUGAACAACACUAUCACCAACAGCAGUGCUCGGAUCAACCAGUACCCGCAAAAACUAUGCCUUGCAAGAAGUGGUCGAAUAAGCAGGUAGGGAUUUGAUGAAUUCCCAAUAAUCCCAGUUCAAGACUUGAUAAAUAAGAAAAAAGUAUAAAGAAUAUAAAAGAUAAUACAUUGCUGAGGGAAAAGUGGAAGAUUUCUCCAUUCGAUUGGCUAAGUGUUAGUUGCCAACUGAAUAUACUGUAAAUCAUUGAACACGAGUAAUUAUUUAAGAUUCAUAAAAGAAAUAUAUAAUUCCACUUUGUUCAUACAUGUCCAUAAAAGAAAUAUAUAAUUCCGCUACUUCUUAAUUAAAUUUAAUUAAUCUCUAAUACCACUUUACUCGACAAUGAGAAUUCAAGCAAGGAA